CACGUAGGGCGCAAGCGUUGUCCGGAAUUACUGGGCGUAAAGGGCUCGUAGGUGGCCAACUAAGUCAGACGUGAAAUCCCUCAGCUUAACUGGGGAACUGCGUCUGAUACUGGAUGGCUUGAGUUUGGGAGAGGGAUGCGGAAUUCCAGGUGUAGCGGUGAAAUGCGUAGAUAUCUGGAGGAACACCGGUGGCGAAGGCGGCAUCCUGGACCAACACUGACACUGAGGAGCGAAAGCCAGGGGAGCAAACGGG
rnacentral:rRNA from 1 species